UGGAAAAGGUUGAGAGGAGACCCCUGUUU
rnacentral:piRNA from 1 species